GACGAACGCUGGCGGCGUGCUUAACACAUGCAAGUCGAGCGGAAAGGCCACUUCGGCGGUACUCGAGCGGCGAACGGGUGAGUAACACGUGCGUAAUCUGCCCCUGGCUUUGGGAUAGCCACCGGAAACGGUGAUUAAUACCGGAUACGACCACUUCUCGCAUGGGACGGUGCUGGAAAGUUUUUUCGGCCAGGGAUGUGCUCGCGGCCUAUCAGCUUGAUGGUGGGGUAAUGGCUCAGCAUGGCUUCGACGGGUAGCCGGCCUGGGAGGAUGACAGGUCACACUGGGACUGGGACACGGCACGGACUCCUACGGGAGGCAGGAGUGGGGAAUAUUGGACAAUGGGCGGAAGCCUGAUCCAGCAACGCCGCGUGGGGGAUGACGGCCUUCGGGUUGUAAACCUCUUUCAUCAGGGACGAAGCGCAAGUGACGGUACCUGCAGAAGAAGCACCGGCCAACUACGCGCCAGCAGCCGCCGUAA
rnacentral:rRNA from 1 species